AUGAUUAGAUUGCUCUGUUCAAAGGACAACGGUUGGUGCAUAUCAGAGUUCAAAUCUGGCCAUAACCACCCGCUAUUUGUGACAUGUGGAGAAAAAACGCAUUGGAAGUCACACAGGCACAUCGAUAGAUACACAAAGGAUCUGGUGAAACAACUCCGCGAUAAUAAUGUUGGUCUUGGGAAGGUUUUCAGCAUUGUGGGGAGUUUUUUUGGCUCAGUUGAAAAUGUGCCAUUUACAAAGCGUUCAUUGAAGACACUAUGUAGGAAGCUGAACAAGGACCAGUCAGACUCUGACGCUAUGAAAACAAUGGAAAUUCUGGCUUAUAUGAAAGCAAAUGACCCUGACUUCAAUUACACCGUGCAAUUAGAUGAAGACAGCAGGAUAAAAACACUCAUGUGGGUUACAAGUAGGGGGUGUGAUCAGUAUCGGUAUUUCGGUGAUGCAAUUACAUUUGACACAACAUACAGGACCAACCUAUAUGACAUGUCGUUUGGUCUUUUCGUUGGUGUCAACAAUCACUUCCAGAGUAUAAUCUUUGGAGGGGUCAUGAUGAGAGAUGAGAAAGAAGAAUCUUUCAAGUGGGUGUUCCAGGAGUUCAUACGUAUGGUUGGUGGGAAGCAUCCACAAACUAUACUAACAGAUCAAGCACGCUCUAUGGAAAUUGCAAUUAAGGCAGAAAUGCCAAACACAGUACAUCGUUGGUGCAAGUGGCAUGUCCUGAAAAAAGUGAAAGAGUCAAUGGGUGUGCUUUGGAGCAAGAACAGAGAAUUCAAAAUGGAGUUUCACAAGAUUGUACAUCACAUGACCGCGGAGGAGGAAUUUGAGCAAGGGUGGCAGCAGAUGUUGGACAAGUACUCACUCAAGAAACAUCCGUUUCUGACGCAGAUAUACGAAGUCCGCCAUAAAUGGGCUAAACCAUAUUUCAUGGGUGUCUUAUGUGCUAAAAUGACGAGCACACAAAGGAGUGAGAGCGCAAAUCACCUGCUGAAGGGGUACGUGCCUCCAGGAUGUCCAAUGCAUCUGUUCCUCAAGUAG
rnacentral:rRNA from 1 species